rnacentral:lncRNA from 1 species
UCUUUGUUUUUCACGAACUCUGUCGUCUUUGUUGCAAGCUCUGAUCUGGUUCCAUCUCGCGCCGUCGGCCGACACUAUCUCUGUCGCGAGAUUCGGUUUCCUUUUCUUGUUCAGUUAUUUUUGUUUUGAUCUCUGGUUGUCAUAGAUAUCUUGUCGAUCUAAAUCGUUUUCUAAAUUAGGGUUCAUUUGCUAAAUAUGAUGACAAAUUGAAUGGAGUAAUGUUGCAGAUUUUUCCAAAUCAAUUGUUAAAUUGUUUGAGUUGGUUUCAUUUUGUUAAAUUGUGUGCGAAGGUGACUG